rnacentral:tRNA from 1 species
CGAAGCCUGGCUGGCGGUGGGCCGCGGCGUCGACGCCCUCGCCGUGCAGGGGCCUGCAGCGGGUGGGCACCGGGGCACGUUCGACCCGGCGGCCUCGCCC